rnacentral:lncRNA from 1 species
UAGUAAAUCCCGCAGAAAUAACGUAAAUAAUUAUGUAAACAUAAGAAACAUAAAUACAAUCGCAUGCAAUAAUAACAAACAGUAACUACUAUACUAACAACCAUAAGGGGGACAUAAGCUAAAACACAAAUCAUCCAUGAGUAACCUUGCUGUCCCACACCCAACCCCGGGAGAGGCGUGCGAAGCACUCUAUGAGCCCCUAGCCUACAACACUGAUUCUAGACCUCCAGACUCCCCUAUCAANNN